GCUGGUGCAUUUUAAUGUUAUAUAAAAUAAUCUUAUCUGGUAAAGCGAAUGAUUAGAGGCCUUAGGGUCGAAACGAUCUUAACCUAUUCUCAAACUUUAAAUGGGUAAGAACCUUAACUUUCUUGAUAUGAAGUUUAAGGUUAUGAUAUAAUGUGCCCAGUGGGCCACUUUUGGUAAGCAGAACUGGCGCUGUGGGAUGAACCAAACGUAAUGUUACGGUGCCCAAAUUAACAACUCAUGCAGAUACCAUGAAAGGCGUUGGUUGCUUAAAACAGCAGGACGGUGAUCAUGGAAGUCGAAAUCCGCUAAGGAGUGUGUAACAACUCACCUGCCGAAGCAACUAGCCCUUAAAAUGGAUGGCGCUUAAGUUGUAUACCUAUACAUUACCGCUAAAGUAGAUGAUUUAUAUUACUUGUAAUAUAAAUUUUGAAACUUUAGUGAGUAGGAAGGUACAAUGGUAUGCGUAGAAGUGUUUGGCGUAAGCCUGCAUGGAGCUGCCAUUGGUACAGAUCUUGGUGGUAGUAGCAAAUAAUCGAAUGAGACCUUGGAGGACUGAAGUGGAGAAGGGUUUCGUGUGAACAGUGGUUGAUCACGAGUUAGUCGGUCCUAAGUUCAAGGCGAAAGCCGAAAAUUUUCAAGUAAUAAAAUGACUAUAUAUUACAAAAAUGCCAAUUAAUAUACUUGAAUAAUUUUGAACGAAAGGGAAUACGGUUCCAAUUCCGUAACCUGUUGAGUAUCCGUUUGUUAUUAAAUAUGGGCCUCGUGCUCAUCCUGGCAACAGGAACGACCAUAAAGAAGCCGUCGAGAGAUAUCGGAAGAGUUUUCUUUUCUGUUUUAUAGCCGUACUACCAUGGAAGUCUUUCGCAGAGAGAUAUGGUAGAUGGGCUAGAAGAGCAUGACAUAUACUGUUGUGUCGAUAUUUUCUCCUCGGACCUUGAAAAUUUAUGGUGGGGAUACGCAAACUUCUCAACAGGCCGUACCAAUAUCCGCAGCUGGUCUCCAAGGUGAAGAGUCUCUAGUCGAUAGAAUAAUGUAGGUAAGGGAAGUCGGCAAAUUAGAUCCGUAACUUCGGGAUAAGGAUUGGCUCUGAAGAUUGAGAUAGUCGGGCUUGAUUGGGAAACAAUAACAUGGUUUAUGUGCUCGUUCUGGGUAAAUAGAGUUUCUAUCAUUUAUGUUAGUUGCUUGUUCCCCGGAUAGUUUAGUUACGUAGCCAAUUGUGGAACUUUCUUGCUAAAAUUUUUAAGAAUACUAGUUGGGUCAAACCAAUUAGUUCUUAUUAAUUAUAACGAUUAUCAAUUAACAAUCAAUUCAGAACUGGCACGGACUUGGGGAAUCCGACUGUCUAAUUAAAACAAAGCAUUGUGAUGGCCCUAGCGGGUGUUGACACAAUGUGAUUUCUGCCCAGUGCUCUGAAUGUCAAAGUGAAGAAAUUCAAGUAAGCGCGGGUCAACGGCGGGAGUAACUAUGACUCUCUUAAGGUAGCCAAAUGCCUCGUCAUCUAAUUAGUGACGCGCAUGAAUGGAUUAACGAGAUUCCUACUGUCCCUAUCUACUAUCUAGCGAAACCACAGCCAAGGGAACGGGCUUGGAAUAAUUAGCGGGGAAAGAAGACCCUUUUGAGCUUGACUCUAAUCUGGCAGUGUAAGGAGACAUAAGAGGUGUAGAAUAAGUGGGAGAUAUUAGACUUCGGUUUGGUAUCGACAAUGAAAUACCACUACUCUUAUUGUUUCCUUACUUACUUGAUUAAAUGGAACGUGUAUCAUUUCCUAGCCAUUAUACGGAUAUAUUUAUUAUAUCUUAUGGUAUUGGGUUUUGAUGCAAGCUUCUUGAUCAAAGUAUCACGAGUUUGUUAUAUAAUCGCAAACAAAUUCUUUAAUGAGACGAUGCAUUUAUGUAUUUUUGAUUUGAAAAUUUGGUAUAACUCCAAUUACUCAGGUAUGAUCCAAUUCAAGGACAUUGCCAGGUAGGGAGUUUGACUGGGGCGGUACAUCUCUCAAAUAAUAACGGAGGUGUCCCAAGGCCAGCUCAGUGCGGACAGAAACCACACAUAGAGCAAAAGGGCAAAUGCUGACUUGAUCUCGGUGUUCAGUACACACAGGGACAGCAAAAGCUCGGCCUAUCGAUCCUUUUGGUUUAAAGAGUUUUUAACAAGAGGUGUCAGAAAAGUUACCAUAGGGAUAACUGGCUUGUGGCGGCCAAGCGUUCAUAGCGACGUCGCUUUUUGAUCCUUCGAUGUCGGCUCUUCCUAUCAUUGUGAAGCAAAAUUCACCAAGCGUUGGAUUGUUCACCCAUGCAAGGGAACGUGAGCUGGGUUUAGACCGUCGUGAGACAGGUUAGUUUUACCCUACUAAUGACAAAACGUUGUUGCGACAGCAUUCCUGCGUAGUACGAGAGGAACCGCAGGUACGGACCAAUGGCACAAUACUUGUUCGAGCGAACAGUGGUAUGACGCUACGUCCGUUGGAUUAUGCCUGAACGCCUCUAAGGUCGUAUCCGUGCUGGACUGCAAUGAUAAAUAAGGGGCAAUUUGCAUUGUAUGGCUUCUAAACCAUUUAAAGUUUGU
rnacentral:rRNA from 1 species